CUGUGUUCUGUUUGCCAAAGGUUGAACAAAAUGAGGACAUAAAAGUGACCUUUGGAUUUAGCGUAGCAUUUUUCUGUGGGGUGGUGUGAAAAAGGCUGAUGACCGGGUAGGAAGUGGGAUGAAUGAGGAGCUGGGCAGCCCUUGAGUACAACUAACUCCUCAGGGAAGCUUUCCAAGGAUGAGGGAGAGAGCAGCUGUAAGGGGACAUAGGAUCAAAGGAAUGGAGGUGAGGGAGAAAACUCUGAGCACAACAGUGAGCUGAUGGCAACGUUGUCAGAAGGAAAGACAGUGAUUGAUAAUGCAGGAGGAAGGAGGAAAAUCCCUGGGAAAAAGCCAUAUACAUUUAUGCCUAUUGGUGCCUAAUUUUAAGGUCAAUUAAUUUUUAGAGUAUAAAUAUAAUCCUUAUUGUGUGGGAAUGAUAAAGGUUGUAUGUUGGAUGUAUUAAUAACCUUUUGGUAAGGUGAUUUUGCAAAGUAGGUAAGCACCCAGAUUCCUAGAGAUAAAUUACUGGGAUUUGAAAAUAGCUGUGUGGCCUUGGGUAAUUUACUUACUGUCUCAGUGCCCCAGCUCCCAAUCAGUAAUAGCAUCUGCAUCAUGGGGUUGUCAUCCAAGUGACCUAAGUUAAUCUAUGUGAAGCAUACAGAGCAGUGUCUGGUUUAUGGUGGAUGUCCUGUGUGCCAAGCACCUCCUUGCUAGUAAUUGUGGGGUUUGAUUCUCUUGAAUAACUUAAGAGUGCUGUCUUUAUAAAAAUUAUUAAUUUAAAUCUUAUUGUUAUUUCUACAUUUUUUUGGAUCGUUAUGUGUA
rnacentral:lncRNA from 1 species